UUCUUUCUAUUACCACCACCUGGCAAAUAAACCCAAUUUGUUAACUUUUCUGUUAGUAGUGGAGCCUAAAGCCAAUAACAUACAGACAUGUGGAUUAAUCGUUCUAAUCCAAAAAUAUUACAUAAAAACCACCUUGCCUUCACUGCUGCCCAACCCAUCCACACUGCCCCCACCAUUAUUCUUCUUUCUAUUGCUACCACCUAAAAUCAUGAUAAGAACAUAGUAAUUCAACACUAAACCCCACAAAAUAUCAUAAAGAAACUAUUCGAAAUCUAUAAAAUGCAGAAUAAAAAAAUUUCAUUGCAGAAAAUCUAUAAUAGAAAAAUUGCAGAAUAAAAACAAGAUGAAAAAUGUUAUUGUCGAUUGAUGGCACUGUGAGAGAGAGAAAUGGAUAAAAUCGCUCGAGAAUCAUAUCAUUUCUCUUAUUGUUUCAUUGAUUGUAGUUGUUGAUAAUCGAUUUCAAUAGCGAGUGCAAGAGACCACCAUCGCCAGUUGUCCUUAUCGUCGCCUCAAGCUCAUCGCUUGAAGUUCAUCAUGUCGUUCAUUACCUGCCGUUCGUCACUCAUGUUCGUUCGAAAAAAGAAAAAGUGGCGGUGGCGAUGCUGCUUAAUGGUUAGGUUGGACUAGGAUUUUCGUUUUUCAAUCUAUAUUUC
rnacentral:lncRNA from 1 species